AGUUACUCGGUGAAUCAGCUCUAUACAAGUCUCCCUCGCAUGAGCCUCUAUACGAUUCAGUGUAGAUCGAGAACUGGCUAGCUGCAGACAUUCAAUCACUCACAAUAACAUCAUGAAUCAAUCAAUAUAAUGAGCACAUUCAUUAUCACGCAUAGAAUUGACACCAAGAAACCUAGAACUCUAGGACCUAAUUUGUCUGCACCAACGAGUUUUCUGUAGAGGGACCAAACCGAGCUCCAUUCCACAGCUCCUAUGUGACAGCCCGCCAUGUGGCCCGUUGGCACAUACCCAUCAUUGUUCACACUGUGGUCCCAUAGUCACUUAUGCCUAUAGACUUAGCAUGACUAUCCUACUGGCACCUUCUUUCCACCUUUAAUAUCACGUCUUCCACAACAUCGUUCAUCUCACCCUUCUCAUUCAC
rnacentral:lncRNA from 1 species